CGCUGUAGAGCUCCGAUGAUGGCUGUUGGCCGAAUGGAUGAAUGGCUUCAUUAACUUCACUGCAACACGCAGGAGUCCUUGAUCUCCCCCCUUGAAAGGCUGGAGCACAGUGGCAUGAUCUCGGCUAACUGCAACCUCUGCCUGCCUCCCAGGUUCAAGCAAUUCUCCUGCCUCAGCCUCCCAAGUAGCUGGGAUUACAGCAAACAAUGGACUAUUGACUAAGCUUUCAGAGCUGUGGGUGUUCUCAGAGGGAGGCCAGCCAGAACACCAGCAUCUCCGGCUUUUCUUCCAACUCCCAAGUUGGAGCUCCAUCUAUCAGAAAUAUGAAACCCUGGAAUCUUCCUCCUCCUCACUUCUCUGCCUUAAGGGCUCUGCCUGCCACAAUUCAUGAGCUGGCCAGAGGUCUUUGGAUUCCUCCCAGUCAUUGCUGAGAUGAGUGAGGAUUGUUUCAGAAAAUCAGGCCUCCUCCUGGGGAAUGUGCCUCAGCUUCUGGUCAUUCAAGAAUGAGGUUGGAAGAGAUCAUUCUCCUGUUUGCAAAUGAGAAACAAGUAUAGGUGUGAAGAGACCUGUCCACAGCCAUUCAACAAAUGAAAAGUCCAAUCGAAGAUGGGACCUGAUUUCUUACACCCCAGGUAUCUGCUCAUCAUCUUGGGUAAGACCACAGGGACCACCAAGACACCCAGAAGAGACACUUGAUUGUUU
rnacentral:lncRNA from 10 species